GACGAACGCUGGCGGCGUGCUUAACACAUGCAAGUCGAACGGAAAGGCCCUGCUUUUGUGGGGUGCUCGAGUGGCGAACGGGUGAGUAACACGUGAGUAACCUGCCCUUGACUUUGGGAUAACUUCAGGAAACUGGGGCUAAUACCGGAUAGGAGCUCCUGCUGCAUGGUGGGGGUUGGAAAGUUUCGGCGGUUGGGGAUGGACUCGCGGCUUAUCAGCUUGUUGGUGGGGUAGUGGCUUACCAAGGCUUUGACGGGUAGCCGGCCUGAGAGGGUGACCGGCGACAUUGGGACUGAGAUACGGACCAGACUCCUACGGGAGGCAGCAGUGGGGAAUAUUGCACAAUGGGCGGAAGCCUGAUGCAGCAACGCCGCGUGCGGGAUGACGGCCUUCGGGUUGUAAACCGCUUUCGCCUGUGACGAAGCGUGAGUGACGGUAAUGAGUAAAGAAGCACCGGCUAACUACGUG
rnacentral:rRNA from 1 species